AAUUUUUAACAACGGAUCUCUUGGCUCUCGCAUCGAUGAAGAACGCAGCGAAAUGCGAUAAGUAAUGUGAAUUGCAGAAUUCAGUGAAUCAUCGAAUCUUUGAACGCACCUUGCGCCCUUUGGCUAUUCUGAAGGGCAUGCCUGUUUGAGUAUCAUGAACACCUCAACUCCUCAUGGUUUUGCCAUGAUGAGCUUGGACUUUGGGGGUCUUGCUGGCCUAUGGUCAGCUCCUCUCAAAUGGAUCAGCUUGCCAGUGUUUGGUGGCAUCACAGGUGUGAUAAAUAUCUACGCUUGUGGUUUUCCGCCAUAUAACCUUUAGCAAUGAAGGUUCGCUGCAGCUCACAAACGUCUCUCCUCCGUGAGGACAGCUUUUCAAAUGUUUGAUCUCAAAUCAGGUAGGAUUACCCGCUGAACUUAAGCAUAUCAAUAAGCGGAGGCU
rnacentral:misc_RNA from 1 species